rnacentral:misc_RNA from 1 species
AUAGCCUUCACCUCCGGGCGCUCCGUCCGCCACACGGCGCCCUCGGGGCCGACGACUCGGACGCAAGACGCGGAAUCCGAGCAGAACGCUCGUGGUCCCGCGGUCCUUGGCGAGGUACUUGGCGAUGUAGGGCUCCGGCGAACUCGGUGGCCACGUGAUGGCGCCGAUCUUGAUGUCUGCGACGCAGGGCGCCUCAAACCCCGCGAGGAGGUCGUCGAGGACGAGGUGCGGAUGCGGCUC